AUUUAAUGUCAUUUUUCUCUACAUUUAGAACGUGAACAGAAAACAGCUCUUAUGGAACAAGUGUCACAUCAAUGCAGCUUAUUAUUGAAAUUGCAAGGAACUGUAAUGUGGAUCCAAGAGGAUGUUUCCGCUUGUUUUUCCAAAAAGCCAGAACAAAGGAAAUUUAGAAAACUUGAGGUAUUUAAGUCAAAAAUCCGCUUGCAGC